rnacentral:rRNA from 1 species
GAUGAACGCUGGCGGCGUGCCUAAUACAUGCAAGUCGAGCGAACAGACGAGGAGCUUGCUCCUCUGACGUUAGCGGCGGACGGGUGAGUCACACGUGGAUAACCUACCUAUAAGACUGGGAUAACUUCGGGAAACCGGAGCUAAUACCGGAUAAUAUAUUGAACCGCAUGGUUCAAUAGUGAAAGACGGUUUUGCUGUCACUUAUAGAUGGAUCCGCGCCGCAUUAGCUAGUUGGUAAGGUAACGGCUUACCAAGGCAACGAUGCGUAGCCGACCUGAGAGGGUGAUCGGCCACACUAGAACUGAGACACGGUCCAGACUCCUACGAGAGGCAGCAGUAGGGAAUCUGCCGCAAUGGGCGAAAGCCUGACGGAGCAACGCCGCGUGAGUGAUGAAGGUCUUCGGAUCGUAAAACUCUGUUAUUAGGGAAGAACAAAUGUGUAAGUAACUAUGCACGUCUUGACGGUACCUAAACAGAAAGCCACGGCUAACUACGUG